UACGUAGGGGGCAAGCGUUGUCCGGAAUCAUUGGGCGUAAAGCGCGUGUAGGCGGCUCGAUAAGUCCGCUCUGAAAGUCCAGGGCUCAACCCUGGGAUGCGGGUGGAUACUGUCGGGCUCGAGUCCGGAAGAGGCGAGUGGAAUUCCGAGUGUAGAGGUGAAAUUCGUAGAUAUUCGGAGGAACACCAGUGGCGAAGGCGGCCAUCUGGGACAACACUGACGCUGAGGCACGGAAAGCGUGGGGAGCAAACAGG
rnacentral:rRNA from 1 species